rnacentral:rRNA from 1 species
AACGAACGCUGGCGGCAGGCUUAACACAUGCAAGUCGAGCGCCCCGCAAGGGGAGCGGCAGACGGGUGAGUAACGCGUGGGAAUCUACCCAUCUCUACGGAAUAACGCAUGGAAACGUGUGCUAAUACCGUAUACGUCCUUCGGGAGAAAGAUUUAUCGGAGAUGGAUGAGCCCGCGUUGGAUUAGCUAGUUGGUGGGGUAAAGGCCUACCAAGGCGACGAUCCAUAGCGGGUCUGAGAGGAUGAUCAGCCACACUGGGAGUGAGACACGGCCCAGACUCCUACGGGAGGCAGCAGUGGGGAAUAUUGGACAAUGGGCGCAAGCCUGAUCCAGCCAUGCCGCGUGAGUGAUGAAGGCCCUAGGGUUGUAAAGCUCUUUCACCGGUGAAGAUAAUGACGGUAACCGGAGAAGAAGCCCCGGCUAACUUCGUGCCAGCCGCCGCCGUAAUAC